GCCAGACUCCUACGGGAGGCAGCAGUGGGGGAUAUUGCACAAUGGGGGAAACCCUGAUGCAGCGACGCCGCGUGGGCGAAGAAGUAUUUCGGUAUGUAAAGCCCUAUCAGCAGGGAAGAAGAAAUGACGGUACCUGAGUAAGAAGCACCGGCUAACUACGUGCCAGCAGCCGCGGUAAUACGUAGGGGGCAAGCGUUAUCCGGAUUUACUGGGUGUAAAGGGAGCGUAGACGGCUGUGCAAGCCAGAUGUGAAAGCCCGGGGCUCAACCCCGGGACUGCAUUUGGAACUGUGUGGCUGGAGUGUCGGAGAGGCAGGCGGAAUUCCUAGUGUAGCGGUGAAAUGCGUAGAUAUUAGGAGGAACACCAGUGGCGAAGGCGGCCUGCUGGACGAUGACUGACGUUGAGGCUCGAAAGCGUGGGGAGCAAACAGGAUUAGAUACCCUGGUA
rnacentral:rRNA from 1 species